rnacentral:rRNA from 1 species
CGCUGGCGGCGUGCUAAUACAUGCAAGUAGAACGCUGAAGAGAGGAGCUUGCUCUUCUUGGAUGAGUUGCGAACGGGUGAGUAACGCGUAGGUAACCUGCCUUGUAGCGGGGGAUAACUAUUGGAAACGAUAGCUAAUACCGCAUAACAAUGGGUGACGCAUGUCAUUUAUUUGAAAGGGGCAAUUGCUCCACUACAAGAUGGACCUGCGUUGUAUUAGCUAGUAGGUGAGGUAACGGCUCACCUAGGCGACGAUACAUAGCCGACCUGAGAGGGUGAUCGGCCACACUGGGACUGAGACACGGCCCAGACUCCUACGGGAGGCAGCAGUAGGGAAUCUUCGGCAAUGGGGGCAACCCUGACCGAGCAACGCCGCGUGAGUGAAGAAGGUUUUCGGAUCGUAAAGCUCUGUUGUAAGUCAAGAACGAGUGUGAGAGUGGAAAGUUCACACUGUGACGGUAGCUUACCAGAAAGGGACGGCUAACUACGUGCCAGCAGCCGCGGUAAUACGUAGGUCCCGAGCGUUGUCCGGAUUUAUUGGGCGUAAAGCGAGCGCAGGCGGUUUGAUAAGUCUGAAGUUAAAGGCUGUGGCUCAACCAUAGUUCGCUUUGGAAACUGUCAAACUUGAGUGCAGAAGGGGAGAGUGGAAUUCCAUGUGCAGCGGUGAAAUGCGUAGAUAUAUGGAGGAACACCGGUGGCGAAAGCGGCUCUCUGGUCUGUAACUGACGCUGAGGCUCGAAAGCGUGGGGAGCGAACAGGAUUAGAUACCCUGGUAGUCCACGCCGUAAACGAUGAGUGCUAGGUGUUGGAUCCUUUCCGGGAUUCAGUGCCGCAGCUAACGCAUUAAGCACU